UUAGCUCAAUUUGUAUGGAAUGGGAUCGUUUGCCUACGUUAGCCGCUAGGGGCGCUGUUCCAAUUGCAUACAAAAUUGAGUUA
rnacentral:pre_miRNA from 1 species